CUUUUUGAGGCAGCUACCAGAAGGGAGCACCAAGCAGAUGCAGCUCCCCUUCCCUCCCAUUCCACCAUCCACUGUCCCCAGCAAGAACCUGCGGGAGGGUGGCCCAAUGGGGAGGCCAGACCCUCCUAGACCAGCUGGAACCACCAUCAAGAUGUCCCCAGCCAUGUCAGACUCUGGGGCCCCAGGCGGAGGGCAACCAGAUGUCUUCAGCUCCAAGUCUGGCCUCUCCUCCCAGCAAGCAGCCACCUCUGAUGGCCAACAGGUGCUGCUGUGUGCCCAGAUCAAGAAUCCACCUCUGCGGAAUUCAAAACCGCUGAGGGUUCUGGGACAGCAGGGAGGAGAGAGGUGGAGACGCAACAUGGGUUUUCUGUGUUCAGACUGCAGAGACCUUGGAAAGGAUCAACCAUAUACAAUGUCCAUUUCCUGCCCUCUAACCUGGCAGGGGAGCAAGGCCCAGCCAAGGAGUUACAGAAACUGAGGCUUGGCCAGGCGUGGUGGCUCACACCUGCAAUCUCAGCACUGGGAGGCCAAGGUGGGCAGAUCGCUUGAGCCCAGGAGUUUGAGACCAGCCCGAGGAACAUGGCGAAACCCCAUCUCUACAAAAAAUACAGAAAUUAGCCAAGUGUGGUGGCACGUGUCUGUAGUUUCAGCUACUCAGGAGGCUUAGGUGGGAGGAUCACCUGAGCCUGGGAGGUAGAGGUUGCAAUGAGCAGAGAUUGCUCUCCAGCCAGGGAGACAGAGUGAGACCCUGUCCCAAAAUAAAUAAAUAAAUAAGAAUAAAAUUUAAAAAAGAAACUGAGGCUCAAAGAGAACAAGUGACUAGUUCAAGGACUCAUUUUCACUAAGCUGGGACCAGAUCCCAGGGUUCUAACCGCUUACCAGAUCCUUUUCCAUUACCCUCUUGUUUAACCACAUCUUGAGUACCUGCUGUGGGCCAGGAGCUGAGAUACUUUGGAGAGUCUUUCAGGAAUAUUGUCCCAGCUCCUGAAACCUUUAGGGAUCCCCAAGUUCUAGACUCUGGCCAAAGCCGGCUGCCUUCACCCCCACCAAGGGAGACCCCCACAAACCAAGGGAGCCCUGCUCUCAGGUGCACAGGGCCUCUUCUCUCUGGGAGGUGACAGUUUUUUGAGGGUGGGGCCAGACACCUCCCAGGCUAUCCCUCACAGGAGAGGAUGGUCUGGACUGGAGGAGUAGAAGCAAGUAGGCACUGGGGAAGGGGAGGAGAGCGUCCUGAGUCCCAAGGGUCAGAGAUAGGAGCAAGAAGGAAACUGACGUGUUGCAGGGCGUGUGGUUAAGGAAGUGAGAGAGGGGCUCAGGGUCGAUUCUGCCUGCUUUUCCUUCCUCCAGCUUGCUCAGCACUCUUCCCAGAAUGUGGGCCCCAAACUGCCAGGUGACAAACAAUGCCCCCACCCCAAGAGAGUCAUCCAGCAUGUUUGAAGCUCCAUCUGGUCCUGUACACCAGUUGCACACCACCAAACGCAGACCCAUGACCACUCCACAACCUCGCACACAGACAGGGCAAAUCCCACCACAGAUCCGUGCAUCCCAGGCAUGCAGGCAAUGCGAUACUGACACAUGCCCGCCCCGCCCACGCCUGGGCCUCUGAACCCUGCUCCAGUCUCCUCAGUCAAGGGCGGCGGCCCCCUCAGGCCUCUUCCACCCUUUUGCCCCAUUCAGAUGCCUGGUUCCCAGCAUUGCUUGGGUAGAGACUCCCGCCUGACAAGCCCCAGCAGGCCAAGUUGAUGAGCCGGCCAAGCAAGCCUGUGUCUCCGCAGCGCCCUCCAUGUACACAUAACCCCCAUCACCGGGAACCUGGGCACCCCGCACUGGCACUAUGUCUGGCCCACGGGUAGGGGAUGGUUCCCAGGGUCUCCCCAGACCCAGUGCUCUUCCCCUGUAGGGCCACUCUUGCCCAGGGUUAGGAUGGACUGUGCUCCCUCUCCCUCAAACUAGGCCAGAGCCACGGAAGCCUGGGAAGGGAGAUGAGGAAGCACUUGUCACUCCAGACAUCCCACCACCAUCAGGGAGGUGGGCUGAGAUAAUGCCAAAUGCACAAAAUCCUCAAAAUCUGUCUGGGCAUGAUGAUUCAUGCCUAUAAUCCCAGCACUCUGGGAGGCCAAGGCAGGAGGAUCGCUUGAGCCCAGAAGUUCAAGACCAGCCUGGGCAACACAGCGAAACCCCGUCUCUACAAAAAAUAUAAAAAUUAGCCAGGUGUGGUAGUGCAUGCCUGUGGUCUCAACUACUCAGGAGGCUGAGGUGGGGAGGAUCACCUGAACCCAGGGAGGUCAAGGCUGCAGUGUGAGACCCGGUCUCAAAAAAAAAAAAAAAAAGGCUGGGCAACUUGGCAAGACCCCAUCUCUACAAAAAAUUUAAAAAUUAAUCGGGGAUGGUGGCGUGCACCUCUGGUCCCAGCUAUUCAGGAGGCUAAGGUGGGAAGAUCACUUGAGCCCAGGAAGUCAAGGGUGCAGUGAGCUGUGUUCGCGCCACUGCACUCCAGCCUGGGUGACGGACCAAGACCCUGUCUCAAAAAAAAAAAAAAAAAAAAAACUCCCCAAGUUCUUUCAGUGGCAGCACAGCUCAGGGGCUGACACACGGGAUCUGGAGUCCUCUGGAGGCUGAGUCAGAGCCCUAUCUCUACCACUUUCUAGAUAUGAGACUUUGGGUGAGUUACUUAACCUCUUUAAGCCUUGGUUCCUCAUCAAUAAAAUGGUAAUGACAUGUAUUUCCACCUCAAAGGUUGUUGGGAGGAUUAAGUAAAUUAAAGAAAGUCUUAGCACAGGCUCAGAGCACAUAGUAGGGAUUUAAUAAAUGCAGGCUGUUUCGACGGCUUUUUGGAUAGUCAUCACAGUCACACUGACAUUCAGACAUGCAGACACUCAGCCAUGGAUACACAAAGACACGGUGACACAUGUGGACGCUCAUAGACCCAGGCAAGCUCAUCCUUCCCGGCAUCACCCCCACCUCCCACUGCCAGCCUCAGGUUCCUACAGGCUCUUGACGUGCCCCAGUUCCUCCCAAGCAGGGAGGAUUCAGUAGGAUCUCCCACUUCCUUGGCUGAACUUUGGCAAGCCCAGAGCACUACCUUAUGGGCCCUCUGGGAGUAGGGAAGGGGUGGGCAACAUGAGACCCCAGGAUGGGGCCUCUCCCAGCAGGCAAGGAGCAUGGCAAAGGUGCCAGGCUGGCAGGGUCUCCAGUGCCAGAGGAGGGCCAGUUCCUCCCUCAGGGACAACAGAGGAAGGGGAAACUAAAGAGGAGCCUCUUUCCUCUUGGUGGGAAAUGAGCACUUACAGAAAAGGGUGCGUCUAGCCAGCCACAAAGUAAACACCAGGGCCAUUGCCCAGGCAACAGCAGGCUGGCAUUGGGACAGGGCUUACCACAACCCCUCCGUACCCCUGAUUUACCCACUCAGCAGCCCUUGGCUGUCUCUGGGGUCUCCAUUCUGGUCUCUAGGCCUGUCUGCAGACUCCUCAAAGGGAAGAAGCUAUGCCUCCUCCAUCAGACUGUGUGCUCCUUGAAAACAAGGGAUUUUUGCCCCACAUCAGUCUAGGGUCUCCCAAAAGGCAUGGCCUGUGUCUUUCCCCUCAGAUUGGAGGAUGCCCAAGGGCCUGGCCUGAGUCUCCCCCUUAGACUGAGAGCUCCCUAAGGACAAUGGCUGCUGGGUUUUCAGAAUGGAUUUGCCCUCCUAGAGAGCUUUGUGCAUAGCGGGCUCUCAAAAAUUAUUUCUUUUUUUUUUUUUUUUUUUUUUUUUUUUCAGACGGAGUCUCUGUUGCCCAGGCUGGAGUGAAGUGGCGAGAUCUCGGCUCACUGCAACCUCCACCUCCUGUGUUCAAGUGAUUCUCCUGCCUCAGCCUCCCGAGUAGCUGGGAUUACAGGCACGUGCCACCACGCCCGGCUAAAUUUUGUAUUUUCAGUGGAGAUGGGGUUUCACCAUGUUGGCCAGGCUAAUCUCGAACUCCUGACCUCAAAUGAUCCACCCGCCUCGGCCUCCCGAAGUGCUGGGAUUACAGGCAUGAGCCACCAUGCCCAGCUCAAAAAUUAUUUCUUAAUGGUGAGGAUGUGGAGAAAUUGGAUUGCUGUGGGAAUGUAAAAUGGUGUGUCUGUGGCCAGGCACAGUGGCUCAUACCUGUAAUCCCAGUGUUUGGGAGGCCAGGAGUGCAAGACCAGCCUGGGAAACAUAUAGAGACCCCAUCUUUAUAAAAAAUGCAAAAUUGGCCAAACGUGAUGGCACACACUUGUAGUCCCAGCUACUUGGGAGGCUGAGGUGGGAGGAUCCCUUGAACCCAGGAGUUGGAGGCUGCAGUGAGCUAUGAUGCUAUGAUCACACUACUGCUCUUCAGCCUGGGCCACAGAGGAAGACUCCCUCUCUAAAAAAGCAAUAAAAAAUAAAUAAAUAAAAUGGUGGAGUUGCUAUGGAAAUCAGUAUGGCAGUUUCUCAAAAAAUUAAACAUGGACAGGAGGCUAAGGCAGGAGAAUCGCUUGAACCAGGGAGGCGGAGGUUGCAGUGAGCCAAGAGCGCGCCGUUGCACUCCAGCCUGGGCAACAAAAGUGAAACUCCGUCUCAAAAAAAAAAAAAAAAAAAUUAAACACAGAAUUACCAUAUGAUCCAGUAAUUCCACUUCUGGGUAUAUAUCCACAACAACUGAAAGCAGGGAUUAGAAGAAAUGUUUGUACACCCAUGUUUGUAGCAGUGUUAUUCACAACAGCCAAGAAAUGGAAGCAACCCAAGUGUCCAUCUACGGAUGAAUGGACAAAUAAAAUGAGGUAUAUCUAUACAAUGAAAUUGUCUGUAUUAUUGUAUUACAUAUAAUACAUACAUGAUAUGAAUAAUAAUAAUUGUAUUAUUUAGCCUUUUAAAAUAAGUGAAGGCCAGGCGGGGUGGCUUACACCUGUAAUCCCAGCACUUUGGGAGGCUGAGGUGGGAGGAUUACUUGAACCCAGGAGUUCUAGACCAGCCCGGGCAACAUGGUGAAACAACAUCUCUACCAAAAAAAAAAAAAAAAAAAAAAAUUAGCCAGGUGUGGUGGCACAUACAUGUAGUCCCAGCUGCUUGGGAGGCUAAGGUGGGAGGAUGGCUUGAGCACAGGAGAUGGAGGUUACAAUGAGCUGAAAUCGCGCCACUACACCUCAGCCUAGGGGAGCCAGACCUUGUCUCAAAAAAAAAAAAAAAAGAAAGAUAUUUGACACAUGCUACAAUGUGGAUGAACCUUGAAGACAUUAUGCUAAGUGAAAGG
rnacentral:lncRNA from 1 species